GAGUUUGAUCCUGGCUCAGAUUGAACGCUGGCGGCAGGCCUAACACAUGCAAGUCGAGCGGUAACAGAUCCAGCUUGCUGGAUGCUGACGAGCGGCGGACGGGUGAGUAAUGCAUAGGAAUCCGCCCGGUAGUGGGGGAUAACCUGGGGAAACCCAGGCUAAUACCGCAUACGUCCUACGGGAGAAAGGGGGCUUCGGCUCCCGCUAUCGGAUGAGCCUAUGUCGGAUUAGCUAGUUGGUGAGGUAACGGCUCACCAAGGCCACGAUCCGUAGCUGGUCUGAGAGGAUGAUCAGCCACAUCGGGACUGAGACACGGCCCGAACUCCUACGGGAGGCAGCAGUGGGGAAUAUUGGACAAUGGGGGGAACCCUGAUCCAGCCAUGCCGCGUGUGUGAAGAAGGCCCUCNGGUUGUAAAGCACUUUCAGCGAGGAAGAACGCCUAGCGNUUAAUACCCG
rnacentral:rRNA from 1 species